AAACCACACCCGGGGUGCCCCACGAGGGGCUGAGAUGCUGCAGAGCGCAAUGCGCAGCGCAGGGACCCGACGAACCUGAUCCAGGUCAUGCUGGCGAAGGGAAGGUGCCUGCGAUCCGUC
rnacentral:ncRNA from 2 species